rnacentral:lncRNA from 1 species
GUAGUUCUUAUCACCGUGCUAUUUUUGAGGGGACGGCUGAGAGUUAAAAUCAUGGGGUGGAUCUGCGCCUCCUUUGCCACCGCCGUCUUCAUAGCACCUCUGAGUAUCAUCGUAAGAACCUGCCGUUCGUCUAACCAUAUUUGUUCACUACAAGAGCAGCAAUUUUUUAAAAAAAUGAGCUUUAUAAAAUGGAGGGCAAGUUGAAUUAUCAUCUAAGACAAUGAGAGAAAUAAUUGAGAUCUUCUUAACUAGCAAACUAAACACAUGACAACAUGGAAAAGAGAAAUAACUCUAGAUUCAAGAAGAUUGAUAACAAUACAGACAAAUUAAUAUGCUACUGUGUUGCAGAGACAAGUGAUACGAACCAAAAGCGUCGAAUUCAUGCCGUUUACUCUGUCGUUAUUCCUCACUCUCAGUGCGGUCGCAUGGUUCUGCUACGGCCUCAUGCUGAAAGAUAGCUACAUCGCAGUAAGUUUCCAUAUAUAUGUAUAUUUAGGGUGUCACAGAAUACUUGUUAUAUCCUAUCAUUUAAGAAUUAUUUAUUUUUUAGUUUUUAGUAAAAAAAAAAAAAAAAAAAAAUUGAUACUAUCAUUAGAUUACGCAAUUUUUAUCUUGGCUAGUAGCUAACCAACAUGAUUCAAAUGUGAUUGAAUCAGCUUCCGAAUGUGGUCGGUGUCUUAUUCGGUUUGGCCCAGAUGCUUCUCUAUUUCAUCUACAUGAACGGAAAGAAGGAAACACCAGUAUCAGAAAUUACCGACCAGGACAAGAACCCCGCAACACUAGCAAACCCGAAUGCCGAUAUAGAGAUGAACAAGGAGAGCAUCGGAGUUACGACUCCGGAAGUCGAGAGUUCGAUGUCCGUGGCCGGAAAGAACGAGGCAUAGAGCUACCAAACUAACCUCCUCCUCCACCGCAAACUGACUGACAUUGCAGGAUGUUUUAAGCAGCAUAAGUUUUUUCUUUUUCUUUUUUUUUCCUUUUUAUGUUUCAUUAAGUGCCUUCUAGCUGUGUUCUUGUGUCAGUGACAAGUAGUGAAAAUAAGUAACUCCGUAGAACUCCUGCAUGUCUAGAGCACAAAUAAGGAAUGUAAUUUGUAUCCGCAUGAUAUUUGUGAGCAAUUUAAAUCAGAAUUCUAUACAUUCGGAGAUGCAUGCGAUAUAUGGAGAAAGAUCGAUAUGCAGAUUUUCAACUCACAUCUUAAUCUAGAAUGAAAAAAAGGGGUUUCGCAUAAAUUCUGAUUCUGGCAAAUUCGAUUUUGAUUCCAAACUCAAGAAAACAAGGAACAAAACAGCUUGCAUUUUUAUUAUGAUUCCAAAUAAUCGGACUCUAAUUGACGAGAACACGACUUAAAUUUACUACAAUAAGUUGCUGCUGCCCCUACGCGCGCUGAUACUGAUACCGAAUGAAUCUGGCAAUUAAACAGAAGCAAAAUUUUGACCUGAACAACAAGUAAUUCCAUAGAAGAUAAAAUAAAGUGCACAUUACAAAUGCUGUUUUGUCCUUGCCAACCUCUUUAAACUAAACAAACUACACUAAUUAAUCUUGCACAGACGAAAUUAAUCAGUAAACUUUGUACUAUAGGAAUUACUGAACAAAUCAUGAGAAUCCUAAUUCGAUUAAAUUGCGACACCCCAAUUUUUCUUGAUAAGAAUCAUUCCAUAUGCCAUUCAUGUUUUUCGUUACGUAGUUUUAGUCGAUUAAAUUGAAAAUUUGGUAAAAUUAAUCGACAAUUCGCUCUAAUUUCACAAUUCUGAAUAUUUUGAACGCAAGGAAAUGCCGAAAAGGACAAGUAACUAAAAAACACUAAUUCAAUUGACCAAGUAACUCACAUCAAAACAUAUAUAAGUUGAGGAAGUGCAAAAACAAUAAUAAUAAUAAUAAUAAUAAUAAUAAUAAUAAAGUUUAGAAGCCUAUUUCAAAACCGUGCAUAGUUGAGGGGUCUACAUUCAUUUUUAGCUAAAUAUUUAUAUUAGUUGCUUGCACUGUAGACGGUUCUGAUUCGACUAUCUAAGCUUUAAAAACUUGAUUUUAGCACCCAACAUUUUAAUUUAUUGGAUUUACGUCAUUUGAGGACUCUUAUGAUGCAAAAUUUAAGCUGAUUAUUUAUUUUCAUAAAUUUAUAGUUGAUAAAUUGCAUAAAAUAUGCUGAUUAAGCCUGUAAAGAUAAACGACGCAUUCAAUUUUUGAAGUUAAAAUGUUAUGAACAAAAUUCAACAAAAUUCUCAACUAAAGCAAGCAGAAUUAAAUUACUCAAUUCGAGAAAAUCCAAAAGUUGAAGGUACAUCAAUCAAAAAAUUCAAAGUUGUGGGACCAAUUUCAGAAUAGCAUAAAACUCUUUCCCAUUCGAGAAAGAGAAACCCUAGAGGAGGGAGAACACAUCGAGCGAUCUCAAAGUCCAACAAAAAAUUUAAAAAAUAAAAUAAAAUAAACAUUCACGAUCAAGAGCAAUCAAAGGAAAGAAACAACCAAUCGGAUCCAAACAAAUUACUGGACCAAAAAAAAAAAUGCAAUUGAAAAAAUUAAAAUAAAAAAGAUGAGGAAUUGUACGGACGAACCAUGUGAUCCACGUGGAGAAGAGAUCUGAGGAUAUUUUUAGCAAUAAUAAUAAAUAAAUAUUAAAUUAAAAUUAAGCAAUCGCUUGCUUAGAGAAGAGGAAAAAGAAAAAAAAAAAUUUGAAAGAGAGAGAGAGAGAGAGACAGGGGAUGUGGGGGAAAGCGAUUUUGUAUCACACACGCGAGAUGGUAAAAAUGAUGUCGAACCCCUCAACUAUCCCUUCUUCUGAAACCGCCCUUUUUCCUUUUAUUUUGUUUGAGUGGCUAAAAUUGCACUCCUGGUCC